CCUACGGGAGGCAGCAGUGAGGAAUAUUGGUCAAUGGCCGCAGGGCUGAACCAGCCAAGUCGCGUGAGGGAUGACGGUCCUAUGGAUUGUAAACCUCUUUUGUCAGGGAGCAAAGGGCGCCACGUGUGGCGCUUUGCGAGUACCUGAAGAAAAAGCAUCGGCUAACUCCGUGCCAGCAGCCGCGGUAAUACGGAGGAUGCGAGCGUUAUCCGGUGUUAUUGGGUUUAAAGGGUGCGCAGGCGGAAUGUCAAGUCAGCGGUAAAAUUUCGGGGCUCAACCCCGUCGUGCCGUUGAAACUGGCGUUCUUGAGUGAGCGAGAAGUAUGCGGAAUGCGUGGUGUAGCGGUGAAAUGCAUAGAUAUCACGCAGAACUCCGAUUGCGAAGGCAGCAUACCGGCGCUCAACUGACGCUCAUGCACGAAAGCGUGGGUAUCGAACAGGAUUAGAUACCCGGGUAGUC
rnacentral:rRNA from 1 species